rnacentral:rRNA from 1 species
UGGGGAAUAUUGCACAAUGGAGGAAACUCUGAUGCAGCGACGCCACGUGAGCGAUGAAGUAUUUCGGUAUGUAAAGCUCUAUCAGCAGGGAAGAUAAUGACGGUACCUGAGUAAGAAGCUCCGGCUAAAUACGUGCCAGCAGCCGCGGUAAUACGUAUGGAGCAAGCGUUAUCCGGAUUUACUGGGUGUAAAGGGAGUGUAGGCGGCUUUGCAAGUCAGAUGUGAAAGCCCGGGGCUCAACCCCGGGACUGCAUUUGAAACUGUGGAACUGGAGUGCAGGAGAGGUAAGUGGAAUUCCUAGUGUAGCGGUGAAAUGCGUAGAUAUUAGGAGGAACACCAGUGGCGAAGGCGGCUUACUGGACUGUAACUGACACUGAGGCUCGAAAGC